UUCCUGGAGUACUGGCUUGUAGUGCUCAUGUUGGAGCAUGUUGGUAAGAGUCACAGCGGUGCGAGUCAUGGUGCUCUGUCUUCCUCACACAAGUCACAUCGGUAUCUCCUCUGCUGGAAGGAAGAACCCAGGUUCCUCAAAUUUUAGUGAUAUCUUUAGCUUGAGGGAGUGAUAGCUAUUUAUGCUCAAAACAAAGACAAGUGCACAAAGGAUGAUGAAUUGAAGAAUGGAGCAAGUUUCAUGCAUGGUUUACUUUUGUGUAUCUUGUAAUGUUUCUAUUUUUCAUUUUUGAAGUAAAAAAUAUUUAAGAUUAUAAAACUUUAUUAUGUUAUUCUUUCAAACUUAAGUUAGAAUUAAGAUCUCAUGAAGUAGACACAUUCAUUGUUUGAAUUAGUUAUUGUUCAAUGCAAUACUUAUAGUUUAUCAAUCUAUUGAGAAUUACAUUUUAUGAUUAA